rnacentral:rRNA from 1 species
UGGGGAAUAUUGGACAAUGGGCGAAAGCCUGAUCCAGCCAUGCCGCGUGUGUGAAGAAGGCCUUUUGGUUGUAAAGCACUUUAAGCGAGGAGGCGUCUACUUGGAUUAAUACUCUAGGAUAGUGGACGUUACUCGCAGAAUAAGCACCGGCUAACUCUGUGCCAGCAGCCGCGGUAAUACAGAGGGGGCGAGCGUUAAUCGGAUUUACUGGGCGUAAAGCGUGCGUAGGCGGCUUCUUAAGUCGGAUGUGAAAUCCCUGAGCUUAACUUAGGAAUUGCAUUCGAUACUGGGAAGCUAGAGUAUGGGAGAGGAUGGUAGAAUUCCAGGUGUAGCGGUGAAAUGCGUAGAGAUCUGGAGGAAUACCGAUGGCGAAGGCAGCCAUCUGGCCUAAUACUGACGCUGAGGUACGAAAGCAUGGGGAGCAAACAGG